UACGUAGGGGGCAAGCGUUGUCCGGAAUCAUUGGGCGUAAAGAGCGCGUAGGCGGCCCUGUAAGUCCGCUGUGAAAGUCAAGGGCUCAACCCUUGGAUGCCGGUGGAUACUGCAGGGCUAGAGUCCGGAAGAGGCGAGUGGAAUUCCUGGUGUAGCGGUGAAAUGCGCAGAUAUCAGGAGGAACACCGAUGGCGAAGGCAGCUCGCUGGGACGGUAACUGACGCUGAGGCGCGAAAGCGUGGGGAGCAAACAGG
rnacentral:rRNA from 1 species